AUACGGAGGGUGCAAGCGUUGUUCGGAAUUACUGGGCGUAAAGCGCUCGUAGGCGGUUGGGUAAGUCGAAUGUGAAAGCCCAGGGCUCAACCCUGGAACUGCAUCCGAAACUGCUCAGCUAGAGUCCCGGAGAGGAAGGCAGAAUUCCCAGUGUAGGGGUGAAAUCCGUAGAUAUUGGGAGGAAUACCAGUGGCGAAGGCGGCCUUCUGGACGGUGACUGACGCUGAGGAGCGAAAGCGUGGGGAGCAAACAGGAUUAGAAACCCCGGUAGUCC
rnacentral:rRNA from 1 species